UAUGUUCGCUACUGUCUGCCUCGCGGUCGAGCGGUAGAUAUUGGAAUGAAACUUCGGUCGAAUGAAGAUAUUGAGAGCGGCGGACGGGUGAGUAACGCGUAGGCAACCUGCCCCAUACAGAGGGAUAGCCUCGGGAAACCGGGAUUAAAACCUCAUAACGCCAAAUGUUCGCAUGGACGUUUGGCCAAAGAUUUAUCGGUAUGGGAUGGGCCUGCGUCUGAUUAGCUAGUUGGUAAGGUAACGGCUUACCAAGGCAACGAUCAGUAGCCGACCUGAGAGGGUAAUCGGCCACAUUGGAACUGAGACACGGUCCAAACUCCUACGGGAGGCAGCAGUGGGGAAUAUUGCACAAUGGGCGAAAGCCUGAUGCAGCAACGCCGCGUGAGCGAUGAAGGCCUUUGGGUCGUAAAGCUCUGUCCUUGGGGAAGAAAAAAAUGACGGUACCCUUGGAGGAAGCCCCGGCUAACUACGUGCCAGCAGCCGCGGUAAUACGUAGGGGGCAAGCGUUAUCCGGAAUUAUUGGGCGUAAAGAGUGCGUAGGUGGUUUUAUAAGCGCAGGGUGAAAGGCAAUGGCUCAACUAUUGUAAGCCUUGCGAACUGUGAGACUUGAGUGCAGGAGAGGAAAGUGGAAUUCCUAGUGUAGCGGUGAAAUGCGUAGAUAUUAGGAGGAACACCAGUGGCGAAGGCGACUUUCUGGACUGUUACUGACACUGAGGCACGAAAGCGUGGGGAGCAAACAGGAUUAGAUACCCUGGUAGUCCACGCCGUAAACGAUGAGCACUAGGUGUCGGGGUCGCAAGACUUCGGUGCCGCAGUUAACGCAUUAAGUGCUCCGCCUGGGGAGUACGCACGCAAGUGUGAAACUCAAGGAAUUGACGGGGACCCGCACAAGCAGCGGAGCAUGUGGUUUAAUUCGAAGCAACGCGAAGAACCUUACCAGGACUUGACAUCCCUCUGACCGCUCUUUACAGGAGCUUCUCUUCGGAGCAGAGUGACAGGUGGUGCAUGGUUGUCGUCAGCUCGUGUCGUGAGAUGUUGGGUUAAGUCCCGCAACGAGCGCAACCCUUGUCAUUAGUUGCCAGCAGUUCGGCUGGGCACUCUAGUGAG
rnacentral:rRNA from 1 species